rnacentral:rRNA from 1 species
UUCGCCCUUAGAGUUUGAUCCUGGCUCAGGACGAACGCUGGCGGCGCGCCUAACACAUGCAAGUCGAACGGAGUCAAGAGGAGCUUGCCUUUCUUGACUUAGUGGCGAACGGGUGAGUAACGCGUGAGUAACCUGCCCUGGAGUGGGGGACAACAGUUGGAAACGACUGCUAAUACCGCAUAAGCCCACGAUCCGGCAUCGGAUUGAGGGAAAAGGAUUUAUUCGCUUCAGGAUGGACUCGCGUCCAAUUAGCUAGUUGGUGAGGUAACGGCCCACCAAGGCGACGAUUGGUAGCCGGACUGAGAGGUUGAACGGCCACAUUGGGACUGAGACACGGCCCAGACUCCUACGGGAGGCAGCAGUGGGGGAUAUUGCACAAUGGGGGAAACCCUGAUGCAGCGACGCCGCGUGAGGGAAGACGGCCUUCGGGUUGUAAACCUCUGUCUUCGGGGACGAAUAAAUGACGGUACCCGAGGAGGAAGCCACGGCUAACUACGUGCCAGCAGCCGCGGUAAUACGUAGGUGGCAAGCGUUGUCCGGAAUUACUGGGUGUAAAGGGAGCGUAGGCGGGGAGGCAAGUUGAAUGUCUAAACUAUCGGCUCAACUGAUAGUCGCGUUCAAAACUGCCACUCUUGAGUGCAGUAGAGGUAGGCGGAAUUCCUAGUGUAGCGGUGAAAUGCGUAGAUAUUAGGAGGAACACCAGUGGCGAAGGCGGCCUACUGGGCUGUAACUGACGCUGAGGCUCGAAAGCGUGGGUAGCAAACAGGAUUAGAUACCCUGGUAGUCCACGCCGUAAACGAUGAUUACUAGGUGUGGGGGGACUGACCCCUUCCGUGCCGGAGUUAACACAAUAAGUAAUCCACCUGGGGAGUACGGCCGCAAGGCUGAAACUCAAAGGAAUUGACGGGGGCCCGCACAAGCAGUGGAGUAUGUGGUUUAAUUCGAAGCAACGCGAAGAACCUUACCAGGUCUUGACAUCGAGUGACGAACUUAGAGAUAAGUUCUUCCUUCGGGACACGAAGACAGGUGGUGCAUGGUUGUCGUCAGCUCGUGUCGUGAGAUGUUGGGUUAAGUCCCGCAACGAGCGCAACCCUUAUCAUUAGUUGCUACGCAAGAGCACUCUAAUGAGACUGCCGUUGAUAAAACGGAGGAAGGUGGGGAUGACGUCAAAUCAUCAUGCCCCUUAUGACCUGGGCUACACACGUACUACAAUGGUGAUUAAACAGAGGGAAGCAACACAGCGAUGUGAAGCAGAACCCGAAAAAUCAUCUCAGUUCAGAUUGCAGGCUGCAACUCGCCUGCAUGAAGUCGGAAUUGCUAGUAAUCGCGGAUCAGCAUGCCGCGGUGAAUACGUUCCCGGGCCUUGCACACACCGCCCGUCA